UAUUAAGCCUGACCAGAGGAACCAGAAGGAUGAGUCUGGGACAUAUUACAGGCAUCUACUGGAGAAGUACCAGGAUGUGAUAGACGUCUAUAAGGCUGUCAACAUCUUCAGAGUCCAGAUGAUCAACGAGAAGUCUCUCUUCACCUCCAGCUGGUUUCCCACUGGUGACAAGGAGGAAGAGGAGGACCAACCCAACCUGUGGUCUGUGGAGUCUGGUCCUGACGUUAGGGUGAAGCUGUAGCAGUGCAGCUGUAGAAUACAGGGAGCUGAGUGUGUAAGGCUGUGUGUGUUGGCUUUCACACUGGGCAGGACUGUUCCACUUGUCAGACAUAUUCCAAUGUUCCACUUUUAUAUUGGUAACUUCCCCCAAAUAACUACUGUUUAAACUGUAUUAAUGCAAUAACACAAUGAAUGUUCACAUCUAAUAACACAUUUAAUUAUUGUCAACAAAGGGGCUACAAUAAAAUAAAAAAACAUUUAGGAAAUGAAAUCAAAGAAUGAAA